AUUGAACGCUGGCGGCAUGCCUUACACAUGCAAGUCGAACGGCAGCACGGGAGCAAUCCUGGUGGCGAGUGGCGAACGGGUGAGUAAUACAUCGGAACGUGCCCAGUAGUGGGGGAUAGCCCGGCGAAAGCCGGAUUAAUACCGCAUACGACCUACGGGUGAAAGCGGGGAUCGCAAGACCUCGCGCAAUUGGAGCGGCC
rnacentral:rRNA from 1 species